rnacentral:rRNA from 1 species
GUAAGGAAUAUUGGACAAUGGGCGCAAGUCUGAUCCAGCCAUGCCGCGUGAAGGAUUAAGGUCCUCUGGAUUGUAAACUUCUUUUAUAAGGGACGAAAAAAGGCUUUUCUAAGUCGUCUGACGGUACCUUAUGAAUAAGCACCGGCUAACUCCGUGCCAGCAGCCGCGGUAAUACGGAGGGUGCAAGCGUUAUCCGGAUUCACUGGGUUUAAAGGGUGCGUAGGCGGGCAGGUAAGUCAGUGGUGAAAUCCUAGAGCUUAACUCUAGAACUGCCAUUGAUACUAUCUGUCUUGAAUAUUGUGGAGGUAAGCGGAAUAUGUCAUGUAGCGGUGAAAUGCUUAGAUAUGACAUAGAACACCUAUUGCGAAGGCAGCUUACUACGCAUAUAUUGACGCUGAGGCACGAAAGCGUGGGGAUCAAACAGGAUUAGAAACCCGAGUAGUCC